GAACUACUCAACAGCAACAUGCAGUCAUCGUUAAUAUCUCUGCUACAGCCAAUGUCCAAUGACUCCAAAGUGGCAUGCCACUUUUUGACAACCAAUCAAGU